AGUGAACGCUGGCGGUAGGCCUAACACAUGCAAGUCGAACGGCAGCACAGUAAGAGCUUGCUCUUACGGGUGGCGAGUGGCGGACGGGUGAGGAAUACAUCGGAAUCUACUUUUUCGUGGGGGAUAACGUAGGGAAACUUACGCUAAUACCGCAUACGACCUACGGGUGAAAGCAGGGGAUCUUCGGACCUUGCGCGAUUGAAUUAGCCGAUGUCGGAUUAGCUAGUUGGCGGGGUAAAGGCCCACCAAGGCGACGAUCCGUAGCUGGUCUGAGAGGAUGAUCAGCCACACUGGAACUGAGACACGGUCCAGACUCCUACGGGAGGCAGCAGUGGGGAAUAUUGGACAAUGGGCGCAAGCCUGAUCCAGCCAUACCGCGUGGGUGAAGAAGGCCUUCGGGUUGUAAAGCCCUUUUGUUGGGAAAGAAAAGCAGCAGGUUAAUACCCCGCUGUUCCGACGGUACCCAAAGAAUAAGCACCGGCUAACUUCGUG
rnacentral:rRNA from 1 species